CAACGGCAGCAAGUGCGAUUGCGCGAGACUGCCGUUUGUAUUAUGUUAGCUUGUGUGUAUAUAAAUAACGUCUGGUUUAAUUCAACAACUGGCAAAUCCGUGUACGACUUGACUUGCGCUAGCAUGUGAAGUGUAAAGUCAAAUGUGAGCUGCUGUGUGUGCUCCAUGACGGCCAAGCGAAUGCUCAUCCAGCUGCCGUCGAUUGAUAAUGUAGUAAACGAUGAAAGCCCAAGUAGUAAGUGAUCAGGCGUUAAAAGCGUGUUUGGAACUACGACACAACUAGGAGCACCAGCCAGUCACACUACUGGUGUGCAUUCCAUUUUCUCUCUUGUCCUUUUGAAGACCUUAGUCCUCUAUCGACGCGAUACAAAUGGAAGCAACUCCAUCGAGUGUUCUUACACGAGAUGUAGAAAAAAGCCGAAAUUAAAUGAUGAAAGAAAUGUAGUCCUUGAUUGGCCAUUUAGUACAAGUUCCAGCCAUUUAAAAUCACACGCCAAGUGUCUACGAAAACACGCAGUCUGAGUGCGCCAAGCAGCAGAAUGUGGUACUAUUUUUAAUGACACGUGCUGCUAUCUAGUGCAGCAAUUGCCAGAGCGCGGACGGCGUACUCGUUCAAAAAUACACAUAUAACUAAAGCCAACAAGUACAACCAACACUCCGUUCUGCGAUCGAAACAAAACGCUGCUGCGUGGACACAACAGGGCAACACACACCGCAGGAACGAAGGCAAGAGAGAUUUUACCUCGGACCGGUUUGGUUCGCCACCGCUUCUGCCACCCGUCUAUCGGAAGGUUUGGCAGAGAAAACAGCCUUCGCCUGCAGAGCUAGAAAUACGCAACAAGUUAAGGUAACACGUUUCGUAAAGUCAAGCCUCUCUGUGAGGCGAGCAUUGGGAUGCACAGAAAGAUUCCAGUGAAAGUUAAUUAUGCGAAGCCGUCGGUGUGACGAUGAUAAUCAAUUGAGCUAAUUGAUGCUGUGAUCGUGAGCGGACCCGUGUCGUCAUGAACCCUUUGACUUGAGUAAGUCUAAACUUAAUUCAUUCUAAUCCAGGGAUAUCAAGAAGUCUUUCCUUAAAUACAUUGCACUCACAUUGGAAAAGUACUUUUCCAUACGCAGUGCCAGCCAUGCUGUGGCCACGUGGAGGCUGUUAAGUCUGCGCCUUCACUUACAUCAGUCCACUGUGGAACAUUGAUCAAGUCCAACAGAUAUUGAGCGGCACUGAGCGAAAGGCACCUUUCGCUGAUCGAUAAUCGAUGUGCACAGUCAGUAUGAAUCGAUCGCCUAAGAGGAGGAUGUGUAGAAUCGUGCAAUCAUCGUAACAAGGUGCCACGGAACCAUAUAAAAGUACUUUUCUCGGUUACCUUCACAUUGAAACAUCCAUACAUCGGAAUACAGAUGAGCGAACCAUUCGCAUCAAUCGUUUGUGCGUAGACGAUGAUCGCGAUCGGUUGCGGCCAUCGCAAAGGUUGUUUUGAACGGAUGAACUAAAUUAGAAACCAUCGACCGUCGAAGACGGCUCACGAUACAUGACACAGUUCUAUUUUUGAGCGACAGCGAGAAAUAAUGUUCUGCUUCUAUGGCACAGUGAUGUCAAACUCAUGUUGGCACGUGGGUUGCGUUGUGUAUGCAAAAAUAUUAUUUCUUUAAUUCAAUUUACUUCCACAAUAGCUAAUUCUUUGCAAGUCAUAUGUUUGACGUGUGUAUUCGUGUUCUAGCGACAUUUUGAGGGUAAUAUCUAUUUUGCUGUUUUAUAUUCUCAACUCAUGGACUAAAUAAAUAAAUAAAUUUGUAUGACCCAAAUAGAACAUACGGUCUAAGUUAGUGGAAAUAGCUCAGAUUGUAUAAUUGUGCACAUCUACGAUCAGAUUGCAUGUACGUCUGACGAUUACUUCUACCGCACAUCAAAACCGCUAAGAACAACACACCAAAGGCAAAAUAUCUCACAACCUUCACCACAACAUUAUCAACAGAACAACCAUUCAGCCCGCAAGGUCAACGAUUUAUGUUCCAUCGUUAUCGGUUGAAGUUUGGUCAUGUUUUAGACACUUUACAAGAACUGAGGACACCGAUUCGACACAGAGUUUGUUCUGGAGGUGGACAGCAAGAUAGUACAUGGAAUCUAAGGGGCAAUGAAAAUUGACAUUGGAUACUUUAUAUGCACUGAGUGUUCUCUUUCAACAUUAUAAAACUUAAUUAUCAUAUUAAAAAAUAACAUAGCCAUCAUUUAAGGAAGUCCUUGAUAUACCUUUGAUGUGCUUCAAUAAUAAUAAAUCUACAAAGUUGAAUCAAAACUGUGCAUCCUGUGGAUUUCAAGCAACAUUUAAUAGCAUCCAAUUUUACAAAUAGCGUUACUUGUAGCAUCUAAAACAUACCUUUGUGACAUUUACUGAAUUUAAAGUCACGAUCCAUUUCGAGCCAUUAAGCAGUUAAUUAAACACAUGUUCAAGGGAUCGACAACUGGUGCGACAACUCCAUAUCAGUGCAGCAAAAAUUUCAAUGGGUUUUAAGAACCUUCGCCUCGCAUGUGAUUAUUUAACCUUCCCCGGUAGACCUUGAAGGAAAAUACCCAUACAAAAACACAUACAUACACAACCUGGUGAUGGUGGUUUGUAUUUCAUUGACAUAACACGCUGCUGCUGAGGGUUUGAGGUUUGAUGAUGCUAGGGCGCAGGAAAGAAAACCCCUUCUACGAUCUCCACACACGCGGCUAGACGAACGAAUGUUCGCUGAUUUCGAGUGCCAAACACAACUUCCACGGUGUGUUAUCUCAUGUGCAGUGCAGUCUCACGCAACACCGUGCAGCAAGCAACUUUGCCCUGCUGGUUUUCCUUGUUCACUAAGCAGCCAACCAGCUGUCGAACGCAAUCAGCUGUUUCACAAUUUUGGUGCGCUCAAGUGAAGGGUUGGGUGUAUGGGAGUUGCGAGUGGCGAAGGAUUUCGAUACGAUCAUGAUCGCAUCGGGCUGGGGUCCUUGAAAUGUCCGUACCAAAAACCAGAGCGAAUGUAUCGGUGGUAAGCAAGACCUAUAAGGACAGGGUAGCUGCAGACGAGUAGCGUUACACUACUGCUUCACUCUCACCUUGCUGGUGUUUAUGAAACUGGUCGCUUUGUGGAUGUAUUGUUGCAGCUGAUUGAUACAGUGCUCCUGGUGGUGGUGGUGGUUAGCAAUUGGCAAGAGCCGUUCUGCCCACAAAACAACACGUGCCGAUUUUCUUGCACUAAAUACCUCUCUAUCUUUUCGCCCUUGAGUUUUGCGUCAGCCAUUUGACGUCGUCGUGCCUCGACACAGUGGCAGUUGGGGGCGCAACAGCAAAAACAAAAAAGAAAGUGAAGUCUAACGGUGCGCACUGGUUGCCUAUCCUCCAGCCUUUCAUUUGCCCACUAGGGGGGUUGAACAACGGGGCCGGGUUCCAGCUUUUGGUGAGACGGAACCGCGUAACAUAAACCUCAAUCAGCAGGCCCACAACCACCGCAAUUGACGUCGCAUUUUCCACUGAGACUGGUCAUUCUCAAAUCCCAACAACAUUUUAUUUCCAUCUCAACAGAGCUUUUAGCAGGCUGAGUGAUGCGAACGGCAUGCUAAACACGGCAUGACACCUCUAGACAAAGCGGCAACCAGCAGUUGGGAAGCAGUUGAUCAUGCAAAAACUCGUGUCUCAGGUAUCUCUACGGCUCGAGGUGGUAUUAGUAAACUCCCCAUUGCAUUUGAUCAGAUGUUACGUUACACCUUCCCUCCUAUCAUCUGCUUACUUGUUCAUUCAAACCUAACGCACCUCGCCGCAGUUGCAUCGAUUUUCCUCUAUUGCUCCCAGCGAAGGCAAAUCGAAUUCUAAUGAAAUCCAUACGGUCCACGUGCCGCAGAGAGCUGACGUUCGUGAUGCGGGACGGUAACGAACACAAACACACAAACACACACUUUGCAAUACUCUACAGUUCACAACACAAAGAAACCUUGAUUGAAAAGCAAAGUGUGUUCAGCCCUCUCGUGCUAGGUAGUUGGUUGGUUACUUGAUACAUUAUAUCUAGUUUAAAUCUGCUAAAGUACGUUGUCGUGCAUGAACUUAUUAUCGGUUGGUUUGGUUGAUAGCAGGAGCGUUGAAAUUAACUGACCAUAGAUUGUGAUAAGUUACAUCAGAGCUGAGCGAGACUGGCAUCACACAGCUGUUCCGGCAUAUUAUCGUCAUGUGUUAGACACUGCCCGUGACUCGAGAAAGUCUAACUAAACGAAUGAAUGAAUGUAACGAAUCUAACACACACACACAAAAGCGAUACCAAUUGAAGGUUAAUCACGCAACGAAAAUGCUAGGCCGGAAGGUUAAAGGUACAACGAAGUAGAGCGGAAGCAAUCGUAACGCAAGCGGAUGUUCUGGACGAACUUUACUGGCAGGGUAUAAGAUGCUACAGCCGUCGAGUAAUGCCGGUGCAUGGCUGUUUAAAUUAAAGUAUAGAACCGAUGCAAACAUCAGCCCAAGACUUAGAGGUUACAUAAAUGGAAAUGAAUUGAAUAUCGGGCCUAUUGGAAUAUAUUCCAUUUUUUAUAACGAACAAACAUUCAAGAAGCAAUCAGAAGCAUCAAAGCUGUUCAUCCAUCUUUUUGUAGACUAAUCAGUGGAAAACUAAAAACUUAUAAGCUUGAGCCUUGUCCAUUUUUAGCAUGCCUACCAUUUGCAGGUCUCCUCCAAACAGGUUUUACAUGUAACAGUAUCAAAUACCGAAUAUGAUGACAUGAUUUUAUAGUCAGCAUUCUCUGAUGUAAUUCAAUCACAUCGGCAAGUCAUUCAUAUUACUCUUCCAUACACCAUCGGGGUCGGUCGUUCUCCAGGUCUUGAGAGACUCCACCACUUUAUAGCACGUGAAGCGACCGCUAUGGAAAUUGUAAUUGCAAGCGAUCCAUAAUAGGUGAUUGCGGUAGGUACACGUCGUCAUUUGCACUCGUCCAUUGAGUGUUCACGAGGUAUGACACCCGAGGACAAAUAUACCUUGUUCAAGGACAGAACAAAGGGGUUGCAGAAAAAAGGAAACCUUUGCUUAUUCAGACAGUUUACUCAAAAUAAUAUUCGUCAUUCGUCAUGGAUAAUGUUUUAGAUCGGAAUAAAAAAUCCGUUGUCUUAGUGAAAACGAUGCAUUUUCGGAGGGCAGGUACAGCUGAAGGUUACAGUAAUCAAUGUCAAUAAAGUUUUGAAACUGUGAUUGGUUUGAAUGACCAUUAAACGAUCUAUUGUUGGUAGAUACACAAGUGAUUCCAGCGUAGUGUACGGUCUGACAAUAGUAUGACAAUCAGUUUAUGCAUGUGAUCGAACUAAACGAAAUAUUUGGUUAUAUAAACCAAUCUGCCGAAUACCAUUAGGGAAGUAUACAGAGGUAUACAGAAUAAUUGAUGCAGUUUAUGCUACUCACGAAGUCUAGCAUACUAUCCCCAGCGAGUAUACGUUUAGUAUUAUGUACCUGGAAAAAGAAAGAGAGAGGAUAACGCUUUAAAAAAAUAUAUUUCAAAGGAAUAAAUAUAUUUUACAAUUUUCAAAAAAUAAUAUAACUUAAGUGCUCAAUCAAGUGCUUAACCAUUCCGCAUGCUUCUUUGCGCUUCAAGACAAUGCAAGAAAAAAAUGAAGACUCUGUUUAUGUUCUUUGGUUGAGUUGACCACCAUCAAUGAUUUCUUUUUCGCAGCAAGUUGUUUUGUUGCAUGAGCCGAAACGUCAUCGGUAACAACGCGAACAACGAACAAAAAACCACCCUCGGACAGGUUUUUUUUAUCUUAGCUUUUAAUGCGUCGAUUGUCCUCUCGAUCAUCGGCAAACACAUAUGAGGAAGGAACUAACUAAAGCGAACCACAAACACACAUAUACAAAAACGCAAAAGCUAGAAAACUUCAUCCAAUAUUCAUAAGACUUCCUCCUUCUGUUGCGAAGCUGUGCGCCGCUUUGCUUCGGUUAGCAGGCAGAUAGCAGGACGGCAACGCUUACAAAAGGAACCCGCACAAACCUUGCCUAGCGGUCGGUGUCUGUGUGUUUCAGCUUCACUCAAAGCUCCCCACGCCGCGCGGUCAUGCCAUGAUCAUCUGCAUGCGCUACACGAUCUGCUCGUUCACCUCUAAAAAUAUAAACACUCGGUGUUGUGUUUGACUAAGGUAUGACAUAGCCGCCCUUAUUCUAUACAUCCCAGAGGACACAACACAACAGCAUCAUUCGACACAUCGAACGGAUCUGGAUACCACCACCACACGUUGCUUCGUGUGUCCCUCUUGAUUCGCAUUCGGUUUUUGGUGCUUUGUAAAUAAACGCUUAAUGACGUUGGCGGACCAUCAGGUUCUAGACGGACCCAGCAUUGUCGACUACAUUUGGGCAACAAGGUAACGCACAACGGCCCAGAUUUAGACCCCCACUCCCUUCCCGUAUACACAAUUGGCAGAGAGAAUUGAGGGCUGCUACUCACAAAAUUUUGGGAGUAGCUGUGCUGCUGCUGGUGUUGAAACUAACUUGAAACAAUACCUUUACUUCCUAUAUCAACCUCAAACAAUGGAAUCUAUUUCCCCUUGCUAUAUCGACUGUUAGCUGUAGCAAUGUUCAGUUGCAACCUUAAAGAUUUGUUUCGAUGCUUGUCGGGCAAAAAAGUAAUAUCCUUAAAUCUUAAAUUUAUCCUUUCCUUGUUCGUUGUUCAACGAUAGUGGAAUGCCCAAAGU